AUACAUCCAAACAUUGCAACCAAAUAACUUACCGAAUUUUCCAAAAGCAAAAAUUCACCACCAAGCCCACCCUUCCAAAAUGGCUCCCUGCACAUGCAACUGCUGCUCCGGCGACUGCAACUCCUGCAGCUGCACCAGCUGCUCUGUAAGCUAUAGCAAC
rnacentral:sRNA from 1 species